GUAAACAUUUAUGAAAUUUAAUAAAAUCUGAUUUGAGUUUAGAAAACCCAAAUUGUGCUUAACUCUAUGGUUACAGACACAGGAGAAAGCGAGAAUGCAAUACUCUGAACAAGGUCAGUUUGACAUACAGAGUCAAACAGAGAUGUCAAACUUGCAUAUAAUUUACCCUUAUUUAUUCUUUUUGAAGAAAGAAAGGAUGUCCUUUAAUAUUUUCAAAUUUUGAAGUGGCAUCCAUGACCAAGUAAGUAAAAAACAUAAAGCAUAUUAAAAAAUAUAUAAAAGAAGUUCAGAUCCAAUAGUCUUUUUAAAAACUUAACUAGUCAAAUAUCCAAAGAACUAUUUAAUUCCAAGUGUUAAGUUACAUAGUUAAUACAUUACCAACUGUAAAAUUUCAGUGAUAUGCAUCACAAUUGCAAAAACUGAGGCUACAUGAGUGAACAGCACAAACGUUUGAGUCUUAUAUGAAUUCAUUUAGAGAUUUAAAAUGAAACGAUGGACCUUCAUUUGAGAUUGCUCACAAUUUUUAAUAUGUAUACUUGAUUGUUAAAAUAACAUGCUGUCUUCAGAAAACUGAAAUUUUUGCCUUCUUCAAAACUAAUCUGUUCUUUAUUAACAAAAAGCCAUUGUGCACACUUUGGCAAAAGUCUGAAAAUUAGUGAGAUAAUAUCUGUAAAAAUUUGACUAGAAU
rnacentral:lncRNA from 10 species